UUUUAGAUGACCCUGAAGAAAGAGGGGUAGGUUCUGUUUCCAAUGAUGAAAGAUGCCAUGUAGUGCCAGAGCACUUGGAUGUACAGCCCUGAAGAGUUGCAGGAUGCAAAGAAAAGAAGCAGUGCCUCUAGGGAAUUGUGACUGCUGGUGCAAGACCUGUGAAAUCAGGGGAAAUAAAAGGUACCUACUCUCAACAACUAUUUUUCCACUGUGGCAGAGCUGAAUAUGAGCACCAUUCUACAAAUGUGUAUUACUGCAAUUGCCUGCUUAGGAAAUCUGGAGAAG